GUUGACCUCGGAUCAGGUAGGAAUACCCGCUGAACUUAAGCAUAUCAAUAAGCGGAGGAAAAGAAACCAACAGGGAUUGCCCUAGUAACGGCGAGUGAAGCGGCAACAGCUCAAAUUUGAAAGCUGGCUCUCGGGCCCGCAUUGUAAUUUGCAGAGGAUGCUUCUGGCGACGCGCCUUCCGAGUUCCCUGGAACGGGACGCCAUAGAGGGUGAGAGCCCCGUCCGGUCGUGCGCCUAGCCUCUGUGAAGCUCCUUCGACGAGUCGAGUAGUUUGGGAAUGCUGCUCAAAAUGGGAGGUAUACGUCUUCUAAAGCUAAAUACCGGCCAGAGACCGAUAGCGCACAAGUAGAGUGAUCGAAAGAUGAAAAGCACUUUGAAAAGAGAGUUAAAAAGUACGUGAAAUUGUUGAAAGGGAAGCGCUCAUGACCAGACUUGGGCUGGCCCGAUCAUCCGGCGUUCUCGCCGGUGCACUCGGGCCGCCCAGGCCAGCAUCAGCUUUCGCCGGGGGAUAAAGGCGGCGGGAAUGUGGCUCCCUCGGGAGUGUUAUAGCCCGCCGUGCAAUACCCUGGUGGGGGCUGAGGUUCGCGCGUAUGCACGGAUGCUGGCGUAAUGGUUAUCAGCGACCCGUCUUGAAACACGGACCAAGGAGUCGUCUUCGUAUGCGAGUGUUCGGGUGUCAAACCCCUACGCGGAAUGAAAGUGAACGCUGGUGAGAGCUUCGGCGCAUCACCGACCGAUCCUGAUGUUCUCGGACGGAUUUGAGUAAGAGCAUACGGGGCCGGACCCGAAAGAAGGUGAACUAUGCCUGUAUAGGGUGAAGCCAGAGGAAACUCUGGUGGAGGCUCGCAGCGGUUCUGACGUGCAAAUCGAUCGUCAAAUAUGGGCAUGGGGGCGAAAGACUAAUCGA
rnacentral:rRNA from 1 species